rnacentral:rRNA from 1 species
CCUGCCCGGUGAUUGCAUCUGCAUUUAAACGGCCGCAGUACUUUGACUGUGCUAAGGUAGCAAAAUCAAUAGGCCUUUAAUUGGGGUCGAGUAUGAAUGGCUAUUUCUGGACUAAUACUGUCUCUUUAAAUUAAAAUAGAAUUUGCUUAAUAGGUGAAAAUACCUAUACACACAUAAUAGACGAGAAGACCCUUAGAGUUUUAAUUAAAAUAUGAAUUAUAUUAUAUCUAUUUUUGUUGGGGCGACAGAUUAUCCACUGAGUUUUUAGCGUAAUCUACAUAGAGUCAAGACUCAAAAAUAUUAAGAAAAAAGAAUAUAACUACCUAAGGGAUAACAGCAUAAUUUUAAUUAAAGUUUGUGACCUCGAUGUUGGACUAGGGACUCUUUAGGGUAGCCCUCU